ACGAAACAAAAGGAACAGACGAAACAAGUAUCGAUCAUAUAGAAAAAAAAAAUGUCAGCUCAAGUUAUCUACCAUCUGGAAUUUUACAAGAGUUAAUUUCUUUGAACAAAAUGAAUGAAUGUUAUUGUUUAUUUGUCAAUAUAGAUAAAAAUGUUAUAAAUUAUUUUUUUUUAAACGUUUUAAAAAAUUUUAUUUGCAACAAAGUUAUUAAAUAUCGGUCAUUAUGUAACAUGUUGACAUUUAAAAGGAUUCCCAAAUAUUAUAAAAUGAAUGUCUUUUUACUAAUUAAAAAUAUUAUUUUAAAGAUUGUUUGUACAUAUGUUUUAUCGGUUGGGGAUGGCAAAUGUGGUACUGACAAAUGUGGCAACCGUGAUGACAUGCUAAAAGUAGGAGGAUAUACAGAGGGUGAGACUACUAACGAGUUGGUGGAGAUUAAAACGAAUAAAGUAGUAACAAAAAAAAACACACAAACUAACAACAACAUAAGUGAUAAUGAUAGUAAUAAAACCGUCAUACAAACUAAGAAUAAAAAUUUAGUUAGUAAGAAGGUCGAAUUAAACAACCCGAUAGUAUUAUUAAUAAAAAAAAAUAACAAAACACAUGAAGAAUUGGAAAUUGCAGAUUUUAUUUUGAAUAGAACACAAACUAUAACAAAGAAUGAAAAAUAUAAUAAUUUAAAAAAAAUAAAUUAUUUUUUAAAAAAUGUUGACUUUUUAAAUAUAAGUAAUGAUUACUCUAAUUUUAUCUUUGACAGAUAUACUAUUAAUAUUCUUAUGGUGCAAGUAACAAAAGAAUAUUUUAACAUUCUAAACUUUUUGUAUUUGUAUAAUAUGAAAAUUAAAAAUAUUCAAGGCAAAGAAACAGGUAUCGAUAAAAAAGUUGAACAAUCAAACUUGAAUAAACAAAACGAUGCAUAUACAGGAGCAUUGUAUUCACUAGUAACUCUAUUAAACUCAAUCAGAAUUUUUAUAAAGUCUUUAUUAUGUAUUAUUAAUAGUGUCAAGUCAGGUAAAGAGUAUGUAUUGGUGAGUUAUGACAGCAAUAAGAAUGGUAACAGUAGCAAUAAUAGUAGCAAUAAUAGUAGCAAUAACAGUAGCAGUAACAAGUGUAACUUUUUGUGCAGCGAACAAUAUUAUGAACAAAUAAAAAGCACCAAACAAAAUAAAAUUUGUAAAAAAAAAAAUGUUCAUUUUUUUUUUAAAAAUAAUUAUGAAAAUAAUUGUAAUAUAAAAAAAAAAUAUUUAAAUAUUAUAAAAAAAAUGAUUAAAUCAUAUAUAAUUGUUUUGUCAGAAAAUUGUAUAAAGAAUAAACUUUCAUGUUCGAUAGAUAUAAUAGAAAUUGGUAGAAUCAUUAUAUUUAUUUUUAAUUUUAUUUUAUUUUUUAUAAUACAUACUAUUGAAGAUAAAAAUGUUGAUGUUAAAAGCGACGAAAAACGAGAGUUUGACAACUAUGAAAAAAACAAACAAACAACUACGACAUUAAUCAAAAAAAAAAAAUUAAAAGCGUUAAAAAUGAAAUACUACACCAUUUUGAGUAGUAUGCGAAAAAUAAAUAAAUUAACAAAAGGGUAUGAGCAUGACGAUACGGAUAAUAAAAAGAACGUUUUUUCUUGUGAUUAUGUUAAAACUGAAAUUAAAAAAAUUACUAAAAUAUAUUUAUUAAUGAGUAAUACUAUUAAUAAUAAUUCAGAUAAUGCACAAUUCAAGUUGUUCCAUAAACAUAUGUUUAUACAUAUGUGUGACGAAAGCGAAAAUUAUAAUUUAUGUGAGCAUGUAUAUAAAAAAAUCAAAAAAAUUAGCACAAAAAAGGUAAUAAAGGAUUACGAUGCAGUUCAAGACGCGAUUUAUGCAGACGCUACUACUACAAGUACCAACACAAAAGCAAGUGAAAGUGCAAGUGAAAAUGCAAAUGUAUCUGCUAACAACGGU
rnacentral:lncRNA from 1 species